rnacentral:rRNA from 1 species
UAAGUUUCAACAACGGAUCUCUUGGCUCUCGCAUCGAUGAAGAACGCAGCGAAAUG